rnacentral:misc_RNA from 1 species
GUGGCUCGUCUGCACUACUUUAAACUUAUAUUGGAAACAAUAUAACUAAGCGUAAGGUUGAUAAAAAACUAAAUUUUCAACGAUGGAUGUCUUGGCUCCCAUAACGAUGAAGAACGCAGCGAAAAUGCGAUAUGCAAUGUGAAUUGCAGAACUACGAAUCAUAUGAUCUUUGAACGCAAAUGGCGCAGGCCGAAUACGCCUGCAUACUUGUUUCAGUGUGCCUAACCAAAUCUAAACUAAAUGUAAGAGAAAACUCUCUUAUCAAAUAGAUGCUCCGAGUAGCAGUCACAUUCAUAUGUGAGCUAUCCCGGUGGCUAAAUGUCUUAUUCGCA